rnacentral:rRNA from 1 species
GACGAACGCUGGCGGCGUGCUUAACACAUGCAAGUCGAACGAAGUGGCGAACGGGUGAGUAAUGCGUAAUCAACCUGCCCUUCAGAGGGGGACAACAGUUGGAAACGACUGCUAAUACCGCAUACUGAAGGGGGGGUAUGCGUCGGAUUAGCUCGUUGGGGGGGUAAAGGCACACCAAGGCGAUGAUCAGUAGCCGGUCUGAGAGGAUGAUCAGUCACACUGGAACGGAGACACGGUCCAGACUCCUACGGGAGGCAGCAGUGGGGAAUAUUGGACAAUGGGCGAAAGCCUGAGCCAGCCAUGCCGCGUGUGUGAAGAAGGUCUUCGGAUUGUAAAGCACUUUAAGUUGGGAGGCGUUACCAACAGAAUAAGCACCGGCUAACUUCGUGCCAGCAGCCGCGGUAAUAC